rnacentral:lncRNA from 13 species
AUGGUUGGUGGGUGUGGGAAAGGCCUGUGUGCUGCUGCUGUGGCUGGGAACUGGGAUAAGGGCACAAGCCCUGCCCAGAGCAGCCACAGCCUGGACUGGCAGUGGCCUCAACGGAGAGCAGGGUUGGGUGGGGAAACUUGCACCUUGAGGGGUGACAGGAAUAGAGACAAUGGAAGAGUGAAGGUUUGCAUGGACUCUGGGCCCUGCCGAGCAAUGGGUGCGUGGCGGUCCCCAUCUCCUUCCUGGGUCCCAGGGGAGCAGGCAGGAGGAUGGGUUUUAUCCUUUUGGUUGUUGCACCCCUGCGUGCACAGCACAGCCACAGCACUGCUGUCACUGAGGGGUUCUGAUCUCUGGGGUGACCAGAACAUGCAGCAGUUCGGGUGGGUCACUGUCACCAUGGGGUGCUGCAGGAGCAGGGCAUGCAGGAGGAGGUGCAAUCCAAACAAGCAAAUGCACUGGAGAUGCUUGAGGAGCGCGCUCUGGAGUGAGGAACUGCAGGAGUGGUUUAGCAAUCCCUUGUCUUGCCGAGGUGGGUGUGUGUUAAAAGCCUCAGCAGCACUUUCCAUGUUUAUGCUCCUGCGUAUGGGAGUGCACAGAAGGCCCACUCGGGAGCUGCUGCCACGAGGGGCAGCUCCAGGUGAGCAGUGGCCCCACUCUGCUGCUCCCUCCCACGGGGCCUCGCCUCCAUCCCGCGCUGCCCUGCUCCUCCGCCGAGUGCUCUCGUGCCUCCUGCCUUCUCCUUGCGUUAUUUUCCUUAUUUACAUCGGUGUCCGCAGAGCAGCUCCAGCCGCUCUGACACCGGGCCACCCAGGAUUUAUUCCCUGUGAGGGAUCCCUGAAGGUUGGCAGUGGUGGGGCUCCCCGGGAGGUGGCAGAGGAUGCUCUGUGCACGUGGGGUGAUGGGUUUGUCCUCACCUUCAAACGAAGCUGGAGCUGCACAGAGGUGACAAGGCAGCCUCUCCCCUCACCCCGUGCUGGCAUGAGGUGCUGCCUGGAAAGCGAGGCUGGAGUGGGAAAAGUACCAGCACCUUUUAAUUUUCAGCUCAACCCCUACUGA